CAAUCCGGUGAUAGCACGUUGAAAACACCAGUUGCCAAAUGAUCACUGAUGGUAAGAAACGUUACGCGUGGUUGGUAUUCGGAUGGGUGACUAUCUGGACAAUCGCGUGAACAGAUCAC
rnacentral:rRNA from 1 species